rnacentral:lncRNA from 1 species
CAUCCUGAGCUCUCAAUAACAUGAGGGAGGGCUGCAUGGAGACUCUGGAUUUACAGCCCUGCGAAGGGAUGAGCCAGUAUGUUGCUUCUUGGGAACAGCAGGAGGUGACUGCCAAAGUGAAAGUCAUAAGACCUCAGCUCAGGCGCUCAUAAUGCAAAAAAUGCACUAAGGUCAAGGAAAUCUCAAGCCAACAGAGGAAAGAUAAUCUACAGAUACCAACCUCAAGAUGACACUGAGGUUAGAAUUAUCUGACAAAGACUUCAACGAUGCCUUUAUAAAAAAAAAAACACUUCAAGAAGAAUCACACACUCAUGGGCCUGAGGCAGGAAGGUGGCUGCCUUGAUCGCUUUUCAUGGCUGUGAUGAAGCAGGUACAGUUAAAGGGGGGAAGGGUGUGGGGAUGGGGGGAGGGGUGGUGGUGGGAGUGGAGGGUGGGGGGAUGGGAGGGGGGCACUGUCUGAAUGUGGCAUAUACCCACAUGGACACAUACACACAUAAAUAAAAAUAAUAAAUAGAAAUCCUUAAAAAGA